rnacentral:rRNA from 1 species
GUGACAUGUUAGGACUCUAAUGAGUUUAAGACCUAAUGAGCCUCUUAAGUGAGGCCGCCAGCAACCUUUUUUUUCUUUACAUUUUAAAAAAAAAACUAAAAUUCUACCCUUAUCGGUGGAUCACUAGGCUCGUGGAUCGAUGAAGAACGCAGCAAACUGCGAUAAUUAUUGCGAACUGCAGAAGUAUUGAGCACAAAAGUUUUGAACGCAAAUGGCCGCAUUGAGGUCAAACUCUUUGCAACGUCUGGUUCAGGGUCAUU